rnacentral:rRNA from 1 species
GACGAACGCUGGCGGCGUGCUUAACACAUGCAAGUCGAACGGAAAGGCCCUGCUUUUGUGGGGUGCUCGAGUGGCGAACGGGUGAGUAACACGUGAGUAACCUGCCCUUGACUUUGGGAUAACUUCAGGAAACUGGGGCUACUACCGGAUAGGAUCUCCUGCUGCAUGGUGGGGGUUGGAAAUUUUCGGCGGUUGGGGAUGGACUCGCGGCUUAGGAGCUUGUUGGUGGGGUAGUUGCUUACCAAGGCUUUGACGGGUCGCCGGCCUGAGAGGGUGACCGGCCACAUUGGGACUGAGAUACGGCCCAGACUCCUACGGGAGGCAGCAGUGGGGAAUAUUGCACAAUGGGCGGAAGCCUGAUGCAGCAACGCCGCGUGCGGGAUGACGGCCUUCGGGUUGUAAACCGCUUUCGCCUGUGACGAAGCGUGAGUGACGGUAAUAGGUAAAGAAGCACCGGCUAACUACGUG